UACGAAGGGGGCUAGCGUUGUUCGGAAUCACUGGGCGUAAAGCGCACGUAGGCGGAUCUUUAAGUCAGGGGUGAAAUCCCGAGGCUCAACCUCGGAACUGCCUUUGAUACUGGGGAUCUCGAGUCCGGGAGAGGUGAGUGGAACUGCGAGUGUAGAGGUGAAAUUCGUAGAUAUUCGCAAGAACACCAGUGGCGAAGGCGGCUCACUGGCCCGGUACUGACGCUGAGGUGCGAAAGCUAGGGGAGCGAACAGG
rnacentral:rRNA from 1 species